rnacentral:rRNA from 1 species
CCCUUAGAUGUUCUGGGCCGCACGCGCGCUACACUGAUGCAUUCAACGAGCACCCGCUGGGCCGAGAGGUCCGGCUAAUCUUUGAACGUGCAUCGUGCUGGGGAUAGAUGAUUGCAAUUAUUCAUCUUCAACGAGGAAUUCCUAGUAAACGCAAGUCAUCAGCUUGCAUUGAUUACGUCCCUGCCCUUUGUACACACCGCCCGUCGCACCUACCGAUUGAAUGGUCCGGUGAAAUUCUCGGACGCGGACUAGCGAUGUUAAUUCGGAGCUUGACUGUGGAAGUUAAUUAAACCUUACCAUUUAGAGGAAGGUGAAGUCGUAACA